CCUACGGGUGGCAGCAGUUAGGAAUCUUGGGCAAUGGGCGAAAGCCUGACCCAGCAACGCCGCGUGGGUGAUGAAGGCCUUCGGGUCGUAAAGCCCUUUUGCACGGGAAGAUAAUGACGGUACCGUGCGAAUAAGCCCCGGCUAACUACGUGCCAGCAGCCGCGGUAAUACGUAGGGGGCGAGCGUUGUCCGGAUUUAUUGGGCGUAAAAGGCUUGUAGGUGGCCACGCCAAGUCGGAUGUGAAAUCUCCCGGCUCAACUGGGAGGGGUCAUUCGAUACUGGCGGGCUCGAGGCCGGUAGGGGGAAGUGGAAUUCCGGGUGUAGUGGUGGAAUGCGUAGAUAUCCGGAGGAACACCAGUGGCGAAGGCGGCUUCCUGGACCGGUUCUGACACUGAGGAGCGAAAGCGUGGGGAGCGAUCCGGAUUAGAUACCCUUGUAGU
rnacentral:rRNA from 1 species